GGGGAUAUAGCUCAGUUGGUAGAGUGCUUGCUUUGUGUACAUGAGGCCCUGGGUUCAAUCCUCAGGACCCCCC
rfam:Ictidomys tridecemlineatus contig006661, whole genome shotgun sequence.